rnacentral:rRNA from 1 species
UGCGGAAGGAUCAUUAAUGAAUUUUAGGACGUUCUUUUUAGAAGUCCGACCCUUUCAUUUUCUUACACUGUGCACACACUUCUUUUUUACACACACUUUUAACACCUUAGUAUAAGAAUGUAAUAGUCUCUUAAUUGAGCAUAAAUAAAAACAAAACUUUCAGCAACGGAUCUCUUGGCUCUCGCAUCGAUGAAGAACGCAGCGAAUUGCGAUAAGUAAUGUGAAUUGCAGAAUUCAGUGAAUCAUCGAAUCUUUGAACGCACCUUGCACUCUUUGGUAUUCCGAAGAGUAUGUCUGUUUGAGUGUCAUGAAACUCUCAACCCCCCUAUUUUGUAAUGAGAUGGGUGUGGGCUUGGAUUAUGGUUGUCUGUCGGCGUAAUUGCCGGCUCAACUGAAAUACACGAGCAACCCUAUUGAAAUAAACGGUUUGACUUGGCGUAAUAAUUAUUUCGCUAAGGACGUUUUCUUCAAAUAUAAGAGGUGCUUCUAAUUCGCUUCUAAUAGCAUUUAAGCUUUAGACCUCAAAUCAGUCAGGACUACCCGCUGAACUUAAGCAUA